UCCUUAUAAACUAUUACUAAAUUUCUCAAUUUUCCAAUAUCAACUCUUUACUUCCACAUUCUUACAUCCACUAACCCCAAAAAUUUCCUCACCACCUAAACACAGUCCAUUCGAAAUUAGAAAGGAACAGAACCCCGCAAACCCUUAAUUCCCAAAUUAGUUUCACACUUCCGCUCAAAACUCAAACCCUAAGCCCCAACCCCCACCACCACUCCUCCUGCGCCGACCACCUCCUGCCGCCGCAGCAGCCCUUGUGUUGCCGGCGCCGCCCAUAAUUUCAAGUGCGUAGAAUUUAUAUUUGGUUAGGAACCAUUGGGUCAUAUUCCUAUUAAGCUCCAACUCUACAAUUUCCCAUUUCUCAUUUCAGUUGUAAUAAUGGUUCUAGAAGCUAGGUUCAGUAAGAUUCCUCCUUGGAGAGUUUGUUAUUCUGCUUUCCUAUUUUUGCCUCUUUUUCCUUUUUUUUCUCUGUAAGUGACGAACAGGGCUCUACCAUAUUUCUAAUGAAAUUGGUAUUCAUAGUGUUUUUUUUUAUGGAUUAUAAUUUGUUAUUGAUAUUGAUUGAUAUUGAUUGAUAUUGUUAUGUUGAUAUUGUUUCGUUGAUUUAUAAGAAACCUCUGUAUCUCAGAGAAGCUCAGUGCUACAAUCCGCUUUUCCUACUAAUUUUUCUGUUGCUGGAAUUUAUAUGAUUUUUCUUGUUUUCUUUGUUUUGGGUUUAUGUACUUUUUGUUUUUUAUUUACAUGUAAUUUUGUCAGCUUGUAUUUAUUCGGAUACAUCUUAACCCGGCACCAACCUGUCAUUUUGAAGUUCAGAAAUCACAAAAAAAUUUGCCUUCUUAUGCGGAAGCUUAUUCUUGGUAAUGUAGAGAUGGAGUAUAUAAUUUUAAUUUUCAAGUGGUUGUAUGACAUUUACCAUUUGUUCAAUUGGAAAAAAGAAGCAUUUUGCUUGAACAUAUUAUAAAUACUUUCUGUAACGAGUUCAAAAGCAUGUAUAAGUUUCAUCAAAACUUGUAUAUCAUGUUUCUGGUUCAAUCUGAUGAUCUUUAAUUAAUAGCAGGGGAAAUACAUGUUGAAGAAGUAAUGCUAUAUUUAGGAUAUAAGAUUUUAACUCCAUCUUUCACCAUUCUCGAUCAAAUUUAAUAUGAACUUCUCUCUCUUCCUCUGUGCUGUUAUAUUGAAUUUGUGAGUUCCUUAAUCUUGACAGAUACUUUGGUCCCUGUGUUGAUGUGGUUCAUUUUUUACAAUGGCUCACGAUAUGUAACAGAGUUUUGCAAGAGGUAACAUUCUAACCUUUGUUUUCUUGUUGGAUAUCAUGAGUUGUAGCAUCUUAUCAUUAUGUUAUAGUGGAACUUUGUAAUAUGUACUUUGCUACUAUGUAGUCGGAUGUACCGGUAUUCGGCUGCCAAUUGAAUGAGUUUUACAACUCUUGGUUCAGCAGCAUCCCUUCCGUUGGGAAAAUAGAUCAGUUGUGGCAUUAAUGUUCUUAAGUAUAGUUCAGAUGUUGAUUUAUGUUUGCGUACUGCCUCUCCAAUCCACUUACCUAUUUCGUCAUAACUGAAAUGCCUUCUUCAUUGCACCCACUGUACCCUCGUUCAUAAUGUGUGGUUUCCUAAGUGCUUGAAUAAGUUGCUUAGCUGUGUUUCAUAAUGUGAGCUUUAAUGUGUUACAAAUUGAAAGCAGGGUUUACAUUAGCUGUCAAUUAACAGUGGUGAUCAUGACAUGGAUAUUCCAUAUGUGGGUACUAUGUCUUGGAUAGAAUCUAUGAACUUGACUGUUUCAUUGGAAGCCAUGCUUCGUCGACAGACAGAUUGCAGGGAUGAUAUCUAUCUCAUCUUCUUUCUUUCUAUUUUUUUCAUGUCCUUAAUCUUUCUUCUGUUUUAAGUUGAGUUUGGUCACAAAAUCAGAUUGCAACUAUCUCAUAGUUAUGCCUUUUUCCCCCCCUUUAGAUGUGGAGUGCGGUAAUUCAAAGUACUGAUAGAUGUUAAGAUGUUCAGAGUUGUUCUUUGUCCAUAGAAAGGUCAUUAUUUGAUGUUGGAUUGGUAAAGCCUAUCUUCUGUGUAUGUUUGUGUGAGAAGUUCCGAAAAUACCACUCGAAAUAAAUAUGAAGUUAUUAGAUUUGUUAGCAAUAUUCAAUGGUUACUUUUCACUUCUAUCAAACCAGUCGAAGCUUUGUUUGCACUUUUCACUGAAAUUUUGAUGGUUUAUACUCUCAGCUGCUGAUAUAAAAAAGACGAGGACGUGUCUUUGAGGGAUAGAGUGAAGGAAAGAUAUAUUCCCCUCCGACAUACAAGUAUUUAAAUAAUUCAUAUACCUGUCUUGGAAAUAAUUAUAUAGUUGGGAGUAUGGAGUAUGGAGUAUAUAGUUGGGAGUAUGGGACUAGAAUUUUUGUAUUGCCUUCUUAUUAGGAAAAUGGGAAAAUACUAUCAAAGGAAAAUACAAAAAUUUGAAAAUUUGAAAAAAGGAAAAUAUGCAAAUGCGCAAUUAGGCAAUAAAAAAGUAAUACACAAGCAAUACAACGGCAAUAAAUUCGAUGGAUAAGCCCGCACCACGGUGAAGGACAUAAAAGUUUGAUGGAUAAAAAGCCCAAAAUGGAUAAAAAGGACGGAAAAAUUCGAUGGGUAAGCCCACACCAUAGUGUGAAGGGCAGAAACAAAAAACCCCAGAUGUUGGGAAUGAUAGCGUGUGUUGUCUAAUAUGCAGUCAAUUCGUAUUAGAAAUUGAGCUUUGUUACGUUCAAACUUUCUCUGUGAAUUUUAAGUGAUGGGGAAUAUGAAUUUCUGUCCC
rnacentral:lncRNA from 1 species